rnacentral:rRNA from 1 species
UGUAGCGAAGUUCCUGAUGUCACACUGCCAAGAAAAGCUUCUAGUGAGAAAGUAACUGCCCGUACCGCAAACCGACACAGGUAGUUGAGGAGAGAAUCCUAAGGUGCGCGAGAGAACUCUCGUUAAGGAACUCGGCAAAAUGAUCCCGUAACUUCGGGAGAAGGGGUGCUGACCGCAAGGUCAGCCGCAGUGAAUAGGCCCAAGCGACUGUUUAUCAAAAACACAGGUCUCUGCAAAAUCGAAAGAUGACGUAUAGGGGCUGACGCCUGCCCGGUGCUGGAAGGUUAAGAGGAGAGGUUAGCGCAAGCGAAGCUUUGAAUUGAAGCCCCAGUAAACGGCGGCCGUAACUAUAACGGUCCUAAGGUAGCGAAAUUCCUUGUCGGGUAAGUUCCGACCCGCACGAAAGGCGUAACGAUUUGGGCACUGUCUCAACGAGAGACUCGGUGAAAUUAUAGUACCAGUGAAGAUGCUGGUUACCCGCGACAGGACGGAAAGACCCCAUGGAGCUUUACUGCAGUUUGAUAUUGCGUGUUUGUAUCACAUGUACAGGAUAGGUAGGAGCCGAAGAUACCGGGACGCCAGUCUCGGAGGAGGCAACGGUGGGAUACUACCCUUGUGAUAUGACCACUCUAACCCGCUGCUCUUAGCGAGCAGGGAGACAGUGUCAGACGGGCAGUUUGACUGGGGCGGUCGCCUCCAAAAAUGCAACGGAGGCGCCCAAAGGUUCCCUCAGAAUGGUUGGAAAUCAUUCGUAGAGUGUAAAGGCAGAAGGGAGCUUGACUGCGAGACCUACAAGUCGAGCAGGGACGAAAGUCGGGCUUAGUGAUCCGGUGGUUCCGCAUGGAAGGGCCAUCGCUCAACGGAUAAAAGCUACCCUGGGGAUAACAGGCUUAUCUCCCCCAAGAGUUCACAUCGACGGGGAGGUUUGGCACCUCGAUGUCGGCUCAUCGCAUCCUGGGGCUGUAGUCGGUCCCAAGGGUUGGGCUGUUCGCCCAUUAAAGCGGUACGCGAGCUGGGUUCAGAACGUCGUGAGACAGUUCGGUCCCUAUCCGUCGCGGGCGUUGGAAAUUUGAGAGGAGCUGUCCUUAGUACGAGAGGACCGGGAUGGACACACCGCUGGUGUACCAGUUGUUCUGCCAAGAGCAUCGCUGGGUAGCUAUGUGUGGACGGGAUAAACGCUGAAAGCAUCUAAGCGUGAAGCCCCCCUCAAGAUGAGAUUUCCCAUCACUUUAAGUGAGUAAGACCCCUGAGAGAUGAUCAGGUAGAUAGGUUGGGAGUGGAAGUACAGCGAUGUAUGGAGCGGACCAAUACUAAUCGGUCGAGGACUUAAUC